rnacentral:rRNA from 1 species
GAAGAGAGAGAGAGCACGUUGAAUACACCAGUUCCUUACGGACCACUGAAGUUAAGCAAAGUUGCGUGUGAUUGGUAAUUGAACAGGUGACCUUCUGGGAGAACACGGGCUGUUUCAA